rnacentral:rRNA from 1 species
AUUGAACGCUGGCGGCAGGCCUAACACAUGCAAGUCGAGCGGAUGAAGGGAGCUUGCUCCUGGAUUCAGCGGCGGACGGGUGAGUAAUGCCUAGGAAUCUGCCUGGUAGUGGGGGAUAACGUCCGGAAACGGGCGCUAAUACCGCAUACGUCCUGAGGGAGAAAGUGGGGGAUCUUCGGACCUCACGCCAUCAGAUGAGCCUAGGUCGGAUUAGCUAGUUGGUGGGGUAAAGGCCUACCAAGGCGACGAUCCGUAACUGGUCUGAGAGGAUGAUCAGUCACACUGGAACUGAGACACGGUCCAGACUCCUACGGGAGGCAGCAGUGGGGAAUAUUGGACAAUGGGCGAAAGCCUGAUCCAGCCAUGCCGCGUGUGUGAAGAAGGUCUUCGGGUUGUAAAGCACUUUAAGUUGGGAGGAAGGGCAGUAAGUUAAUACCUUGCUGUUUUGACGUUACCAACAGAAUAAGCACCGGCUAACUUCGUG